AUGGGGAUAUGGUUAGUCUGGUGCAUGGCAGUCCUGUGCUUCUUGGGAGCAAGACAUACAGACGCCAAAAUCACCCAAACACCAAUCCUGGUACUGAAGAGAGGACAGAGAGCCCAGCUGACAUGCAGACAAACUGAUGGUCAUAGUUAUAUGUACUGGUAUCAGCAGCAGCAGGGGAAGGGGCUGCAGCUGAUCUAUUACUCAUUUGCUGUAGAUAACAAGGAGAAAGGUGAUAUUAAAGAGGGAUUCACAGCCUCCCGGCCACAGACCGAAAUCUUUGACUUGAACAUCACCUCUGUGAAGAUGGAGCACUCGGCUGUGUAUUUCUGUGCCAGCAGUUUAGACACAUGCAGAGAGAACUCCUCUUCCCUCAUUUGA